rnacentral:lncRNA from 1 species
AAUUAUCAGCAGUUAAGGUCCGAUUUGGACAUAUAAGGUCCGAUUUGCCCAAAUUCUAGAUACUGGCCUCACAGUUAAGGUUAAAAUUAUCAGCAGUUAACGUCCGAUUUGGACAGAAUAUAGAACAUUUGGUCACGCUUGAGGAAAAUUCAAAAGUUUGAGGGGUAAACUGAUGAAAUUGAAAGUAUAGGGAUUAACAUGAAGUUACUCCCAAACUUCAUAGGGGUAAACUGAAUUUAAUUCCUAAUUAUAUGUAGACAUGCAUCUGGUUAGGUACAAGAGUCAGUCUCCUUAUCAAGCAGAUUGAUUCGUUUCAUAAUUGUCGUGUGUCUCCGUACGUGCAGUACGAUACUCCACUCUUAUUACAGAUUUUUAAGAGGUGAUCUGUGGCACGUAUUAAAUAUCAGCAAAUUAAUUAACUCUGUAUAUUUUUAUAGGGGUUGUUUACAUGAGGUGUAUAUGAUAAACUCAUUUUACAACUAAUUGAAUCAAAACCAUAAGUUAAUUGAACCAAACUUACGACAUUACAGAUAUGACAACAAAGUUGUUGUCAUUUGUUAAUUUUGGUAAACAAAGUCGUUACUUGAGUAAUUUUUGUUCUAUUAUAGGUAAAUUCUCAACAUAUGACGUUUUUAUAAGUUUAUGAACAACUUGUUGUCGAAAUAGUUACUUGCAUGGUACUAUUACAUGUAAAUGUGUAAAACAUAUGUAGUAAUAUUAUUAUCAAUGUUGUAAAUUUGGUCAAAUUAACUUGUAAUUUUGGUUCAAUUAGUUGUAAAAUAAGUGUAUGAUAUACAUCUCAGUACUAUAUCACUACAAGAAUAAAGACUUUAGCCGACGAAAUUUUCUUUCGUCAGCUAAAUUAUAUUUUCGUCGGCUAUAGUCAACUUUAGCUUACGAAAUUAUAUUUUCGUCGGCUAAAGAAUUCAUUUUCGUCGGCUAAAGUAUGUGACUUUAGCCGACGACUUUAAACAUUCUUUACCCGACGAAAUUUUAAUUUCGUCGGCUAAAGUUGACUAUAGCCGACGAAAAUAAAUUUCGUCGGCUAAAGUUCUUUAUAUUCGCAGAUCUGGACAGCAGCUCAUCUGAGAAAAAAAAACGGGAGAAGAAAAAACGGGAGAAAAAGUUUGGGUGUUGUUGAAAUCUGUCCAUAAUUAAGAAGUGGAGCUAUAUAUAGGUACGUACAUGUGUAUAUAUGUUGAUUUUGAAUUUUUAUUUGAGUUGAUCGAUUUUGAGUGUGAUUGAAUUGAUAGAUUUUGAGUACGUUUGAUGUAUAUAUAUAUAUAUAUAUAUAUGUGUGUGU